AUGGACCUGUCUCUGGCCUUAGGUCGCCCGGCAACCGGCGGCAGUGGGGCGGCCGGCCGGCGAGCAUACAGCUGCGGGCUGGCCGAUGAUGAGGCGCGGCCGUUGUUCCCGUGCCUCUUUUGCGACAGGAAAUUCCUCAAGCCGCAGGCCCUCGGUGGCCACCAGAACGCGCACAGGGAGGAGCGCGCGGCUGGCUGGAACCCCUACGUCUACGGCCGCCCACCCGCUGACAGUGCCGCCUCGUCUCGCGCCUCCGCCACCGACAACUUCAACCCUAUCGCCACGCACGGUGGUGGCGGGGGCGCCGCCCCACCGCCCCUCCAUGUCGUUCUUGAGGCUGGCACGCUGGCUCCGUCGGCCCACGGCGUGCGAGUGGCAGCCGGCCCGUUCUCCGGCGUCCACGACGAUGUGGGGGACAUGCUAAGCUCAGGAAGGUCACCGGCCGCUGAGCCGGCAUUGGAGAGCAACACCGGCGUAGGGAUCAACCUGGAGCUGCGACUCUAG
rnacentral:rRNA from 1 species